UGCUUUACACAUGCAAGUCGAACGGCAGCACGGGUGCUUGCACCUGGUGGCGAGUGGCGAACGGGUGAGUAAUACAUCGGAACGUGCCCAGUAAUGGGGGAUAACUAACCGAAAGGUUAGCUAAUACCGCAUACGCCCUGAGGGGGAAAGCGGGGGAUCGAAAGACCUCGCGUUAUUGGAGCGGCCGAUAUCUGAUUAGCUAGUUGGUAGGGUAAGGGCCUACCAAGGCGACGAUCAGUAGCUGGUCUGAGAGGAUGAUCAGCCACACUGGAACUGAGACACGGUCCAGACUCCUACGGGAGGCAGCAGUGGGGAAUUUUGGACAAUGGGGGAAACCCUGAUCCAGCCAUUCCGCGUGAGUGAAGAAGGCCUUCGGGUUGUAAAGCUC
rnacentral:rRNA from 1 species